rnacentral:rRNA from 1 species
CAGUAGGGAAUCUUCCGCAAUGGGCGAAAGCCUGACGGAGCAACGCCGCGUGAGUGAUGAAGGUCUUCGGAUCGUAAAACUCUGUUAUUAGGGAAGAACAUAUGUGUAAGUAACUGUGCACAUCUUGACGGUACCUAAUCAGAAAGCCACGGCUAACUACGUGCCAGCAGCCGCGGUAAUACGUAGGUGGCAAGCGUUAUCCGGAAUUAUUGGGCGUAAAGCGCGCGUAGGCGGUUUUUUAAGUCUGAUGUGAAAGCCCACGGCUCAACCGUGGAGGGUCAUUGGAAACUGGAAAACUUGAGUGCGGAAGAGGAAAGUGGAAUUCCAUGUGUAGCGGUGAAAUGCGCAGAGAUAUGGAGGAACACCAGUGGCGAAGGCGACUUUCUGGUCUGUAACUGACGCUGAUGUGCGAAAGCGUGGGGAUCAAACAGGAUUAGAUACCCUGGUAGUCCACGCCGUAAACGAUGAGUGCUAAGUGUUAGGGGGUUUCCGCCCCUUAGUGCUGCAGCUAACGCAUUAAGCACUCCGCCUGGGGAGUACGACCGCAAGGUUGAAACUCAAAUGAAUUGACGGGGGCCCGCACAAGCGGUGGAGCAUGUGGUUUAAUUCGAAGCAACGCGAAGAACCUUACC